rnacentral:rRNA from 1 species
UACGUAGGGCGCAAGCGUUGUCCGGAAUUAUUGGGCGUAAAGAGCUCGUAGGCGGUCUGUCACGUCGGAAGUGAAAACCCGGGGCUUAACCCCGGGCUUGCUUUCCGAUACGGGCAGACUAGAGUGUGGUAGGGGAGGACUGGAAUUCCUGGUGUAGCGGUGAAAUGCGCAGAUAUCGGGAAGAACGACCUGUGGCGAAGGCGGACUCGACUGGCCCGAGUACCUGACGCUGAGGCA